GCCUAAUACAUGCAAGUCGAACGAUGAAGCUUCUAGCUUGCUAGAAGUGGAUUAGUGGCGCACGGGUGAGUAAGGUAUAGUUAAUCUGCCCUACACAAGAGGACAACAGUUGGAAACGACUGCUAAUACUCUAUACUCCUGCUUAACACAAGUUGAGUAGGGAAAGUUUUUCGGUGUAGGAUGAGACUAUAUAGUAUCAGCUAGUUGGUAAGGUAAUGGCUUACCAAGGCUAUGACGCUUAACUGGUCUGAGAGGAUGAUCAGUCACACUGGAACUGAGACACGGUCCAGACUCCUACGGGAGGCAGCAGUAGGGAAUAUUGCGCAAUGGGGGAAACCCUGACGCAGCAACGCCGCGUGGAGGAUGACACUUUUCGGAGCGUAAACUCCUUUUCUUAGGGAAGAAUUCUGACGGUACCUAAGGAAUAAGCACCGGCUAACUCCGUGCCAGCAGCCGCGGUAAUACGGAGGGUGCAAGCGUUACUCGGAAUCACUGGGCGUAAAGGGCGCGUAGGCGGAUUAUCAAGUCUCUUGUGAAAUCUAAUGGCUUAACCAUUAAACUGCUUGGGAAACUGAUAGUCUAGAGUGAGGGAGAGGCAGAUGGAAUUGGUGGUGUAGGGGUAAAAUCCGUAGAUAUCACCAAGAAUACCCAUUGCGAAGGCGAUCUGCUGGAACUCAACUGACGCUAAGGCG
rnacentral:rRNA from 1 species